rnacentral:rRNA from 1 species
GACGAACGCUGGCGGCGUGCUUAACACAUGCAAGUCGAACGGAAAGGCCCUGCUUUUGUGGGGUGCUCGAGUGGCGAACGGGUGAGUAACACGUGAGUAACCUGCCCUUGACUUUGGGAUAACUUCAGGAAACUGGGGCUAAUACCGGAUAGGAGCUCCUGCUGCAUGGUGGGGGUUGGAAAGUUUCGGCGGUCGGGGAUGGACUCGCGGCUUAUCAGCUUGUUGGUGGGGUAGUGGCUUACCAAGGCUUUGACGGGUAGCCGGCCUGGGAGGGUGACCGGCCACCUUGGGACUGAGAUACGGCCCAGACUCCUACGGGAGGCAGCAGUGGGGAAUAUUGCACAAUGGGCGGAAGCCUGAUGCAGCAACGCCGCGUGCGGGAUGACGGCCUUCGGGUUGUAAACCGCUUUCGCCUGUGACGAAGCGUGAGUGACGGUAAUGGGUAAAGAAGCACCGGCUAACUACGUG